AAGCUACUCAUAUGUGGUCUGAGAUGCUCCAGUGGAGGAUCAACUUUGGUGCUGAUACUAUCAUUCAUGAUUUUGUAUUUGAUGAACUCGACGAAGUCCUCCAUUAUUAAGAUUUUGAACUCUACGCCAUAGAUCGCCUCCGAGUCCUGCAGGGUAUUUCAGAUGGUUUG